AGUUGAACUGGGGAUAUCGUUUUCGGAUGGUAUCCUAGUAGCGGACGGGUGAGUAACGCGUGAGCAACCUACCUUUGUGAGGGGGACAACAGCUGGAAACGGCUGCUAAUACCGCAUAAGGCCACGACCUCGAUUGAGGAUGUGGUAAAAGAUUUAUCGCACAAAGAUGGGCUCGCGUCCCAUUAGCUAGUUGGUGAGGUAACGGCCCACCAAGGCGACGAUGGGUAGCCGACCUGAGAGGGUGAUCGGCCACACUGGAACUGAGACACGGUCCAGACUCCUACGGGAGGCAGCAGUGGGGAAUAUUGGGCAAUGGGCGCAAGCCUGACCCAGCAACGCCGCGUGAGGGAAGAAGGUCUUCGGAUUGUAAACCUCUGUCCUUGGGGACGAAAAAAAUGACGGUACCCAAGGAGGAAGCUCCGGCUAACUACGUGCCAGCAGCCGCGGUAAUACGUAGGGAGCGAGCGUUGUCCGGAAUUACUGGGCGUAAAGGGUGCGUAGGCGGUUUGGCAAGUCAGAUGUGAAAUCCCCGGGCUUAACUCGGGUGGUGCAUUUUUGAAACUGCUGAACUUGAGUGCAGGAGAGGAAAGCGGAAUUCCUAGUGUAGCGGUGAAAUGCGUAGAUAUUAGGAGGAACACCAGUGGCGAAGGCGGCAUUUCUGGACUGUAACUGACGCUGAGGCACGUAAGCGUGGGGACUAUACAGGAUUAGAUACCCUGGUAGUCCACGCUGUAAACGAUGGAUACUAGGUGUGGGGGA
rnacentral:rRNA from 1 species